AAGACUUUUUAACUAUAUUAAGUAUAUAUUUUGAAAAUAUAAAAAAGAACGUUUCUAAAAGUCUA
rnacentral:tRNA from 1 species